rnacentral:lncRNA from 1 species
ACGGAAUCCGGGGGAGGCCGAAACCCGGUAGUCGAUGGAACCUCUCACUGCAAAAUCUCCCUGCUUUUUGAGGCUAGAGCCGAGAAGAACGCCACAGGACAACGCGGGGGAAGAGGGGGCACCUCCCCCUUACCUUGAUGGCUUUGUCCAUGUCGCUCUCCUCCGACAUACUCAGUGGGGCCCCCACAGCCAGGAGAGGCGGAGGCUGCUCAGCAGCCCUGUCCCCGCGCGGCCGAGGGAGCAAAGGGCUCGGCACUCGGGCCCCUGGGCCUCGUGGCGACGGGCAGCAGCCGCCCCUCGGGACCGGUGGGGAUGAGGACCCCGGCGCCGGCUCUGCUUCGGCGGGCGGCUCUAGGCUGGCGGCAGCAGCAGCGGCGGAGGCGGCGGCCCCUGGGGACAAGUCUUUGUGCUGGGCCCCGCGCGGCCGCCUCCUAGCCUCAUCCCCAGCUGGGGAGGCAGGCUCCCGGGGUAGGGCGAGGCGGGGAGGGCCUCGACCCGGGGCGCUGUGCAAGGGCCUCGCGGGGCCGCCGCUUAGACCUGGGCUCGCCAAGUCCUAAAGAGGAGCCUGCGCCUCCGCCUCCGCCGCCUGCACCGCCGCGAAGCCGAAGCCGAAGCAGAGCUCGGCGCCGCUGCUCCCGCCGCCGCCUCAGCGCCACACAUCGCCGGGACACCCGCGCCGGGCAGCCCCGCCGGCCGCCCUCACGCACGCGCUGUGCCCCGCGGGAGCUCCAGGCCGCCCCUCCUGCCGCCCAGCUUCGUGACUCCACGGCCCCACGCGCCCCUUGCUGCCUUCCGCUGGGGUUUCCGAGCCGCCCCCGAGCCGCGCACCCGACUUGCAGGCGUCCGCCUGGGCCUCCCUAAGACACGCCGCAUACAGGACAGGCCCCUGGGCCUUCCGCGGCGAUGGCGCUGCGCUAAUGACGUCAUAGGCCCGGACUCGCGUGAGUGCGCGUGCGUUGGGGCCUCAGCCUUUAUCUCCACUCUGCGGAGAUUCACGCCUGGAAAACGCUCUUCUGAGAGGAUCUGUGGAGGUCAACCCAGGAGAGAGAAGACAGGACUGAAGCACUGAAAGGGUCCUGCCGUAAGGGCGCAGGAUUGUAUAGAAUAUAUAAUAGCAGUAGCAGCUCUGUUUACGGAGCAUUAACCUUACGUGGAGUUAUUUCCUGCAUUUCCUCCUUUCGUCUUUACAAGGUAGCCGUUUGGCGUCGUGAGGUAUGGAUGUUCCCAUCCCUAAUUUGCAAAAUAGGUAACUGAGGCUCAGGAGAGCUAGACUAGUUUGUGCACAGCCGAGAAGUGGUCAAGCUAGAAUGGGACCCCAGGUUUGUGCUCCCUGCUCUCCACCGAUAACCUAUCAAAGGGCUUUGCAAGAGCUUUUGACUAAUCGUCUGUCAAUGGUUCUUCAUUCACGUAUUAAUUGCACAUCAGUAUGUGCCAAAUCUACUAGACAUUGGAGAAACAGUAGGAACAACACAUGGUACCGGCACAUGGAUCUUUCAGGAAAACGAAGUAGGUAAUAAACAGGAAAAAGCCCGAGUCUGAUGCUAAGAAGAACAUAAACAGGAUGCUGAGAGAUUGGGUCUCUCCACAUUGCCCCGGCUGCUCUCCAACCCCUGAGUUCAAGUGAUUCACCUCCCUUGGCCUCCCAAAGAACUGGGAUUACAGACGUGAGCCACCGUGCCUGGCUGAGAAGAUGGAUUUAAGAUAUGUUUUGGAGCGGAAAGUGAGCAGAAGAGGUGUGCAGUUUCCAGGCCUGGCCCAUACAGACCUCCAACAGGUGCUCCCCUGUGCUGUUACUCCUUCUGCCAACUGGAAGCAGAUGGUGACCAGGCUCUGGAGAAGGCAAGGCCUGAAGAUGGGAGAUUCCUAAGUGGAGGAGAACUGUGCCUUACUGACCUAAAUAUCCACUCAGUAUUGUUAUGUGAGAAUAAAUAAACUUGUGUUGACCGUUUA